CCUUACCGAAAGCAAUUGGAGGGCAAGUCUGGUGCCAGCAGCCGCGGUAAUUCCAGCUCCAAUAGCGUAUAUUAAAGUUGUUGCAGUUAAAAGCUCGUAGUUGAAGUUCUGAUUGUUCGGGCCUCGCGCUUUAUAGCCGAGGAACCGACAGUCAUCCGCUUGCAAAUAUAUGUUCGCCUUUAACCGGGUGGCUAUAUGAGUAAGCAAUUUACCUUGAGAAAAACAGAGUGUUCCAGGCAGGUUUGUCCGGAAUGCAUUAGCAUGGAAUAAUAGAAUAUGACUGAAGUCGAUUUAUUGGUUUAAGGCUUUAGUAAUGAUUAAUAGGAACAGUCGGGGGCAUUGGUACUUGACAGUCAGAGGUGAAAUUCUAGGAUUUGUCAAAGACUAACAAAUGCGAAAGCA
rnacentral:rRNA from 1 species